rnacentral:rRNA from 1 species
AUUGAACGCUGGCGGCAUGCCUUACACAUGCAAGUCGAACGGUAACAGGUCUUCGGAUGCUGACGAGUGGCGAACGGGUGAGUAAUACAUCGGAACGUGCCUAGUAGUGGGGGAUAACUACUCGAAAGAGUGGCUAAUACCGCAUGAGAUCUACGGAUGAAAGCAGGGGAUCGCAAGACCUUGUGCUACUAGAGCGGCCGAUGGCAGAUUAGGUAGUUGGUGGGAUAAAAGCUUACCAAGCCGACGAUCUGUAGCUGGUCUGAGUGGACGAUCAGCCACACUGGGACUGAGACACGGCCCAGACUCCUACGGGAGGCAGCAGUGGGGAAUUUUGGACAAUGGGCGCAAGCCUGAUCCAGCAAUGCCGCGUGCAGGAUGAAGGCCUUCGGGUUGUAAACUGCUUUUGUACGGGACGAAAAGCCCUGGGUUAAUACCCUGGGGUCAUGACGGUACCGUAAGAAUAAGCACCGGCUAACUACGUGCCAGCAGCCGCGGUAA